CUGUUGUAUAUUUAACCUCCACACCAUAUUUCAUGCAAUAAGAAUGCAUAUCAGCUCUUGAGCAGCCAGAUUUGGAAAUCAUGGCUCUCCAGUCAUGGGAAAAGGACAGCGUAAGGAACAGCAGCAUACAUGCAUUUUCCUUCACUGCUGUCACAAAGAUUUUUACUUCAGGACCUGGCAGAGCUUUACUUGCUGCAUUUAUCAUGGUGAGCUCAAUUCCUGGUCACAGAGUCAGGUCAUACACAGAAAUCCACGUACUGUCAAUGGAAGUUCAGCACCAGAUUAAGGACAAGAGAGUGAAGUUGCUCUGCAUAACUUGGUAAACACAUACCUGUCCUGUGCACCAUCCAUCAAAUACGUUACACUGCAGACUCAGUAACUGGCAGGAGCCCUUGAUCUGUAGUGAUCUGUGUCUAAUUUCAGCAUGAAUAGUUCCUUCUCCUUGAGCAUAGAGCUUGAGGCUUUCCCAGGUGAGUGGCACUGAAAGGUAUUCCUUUUCCACUUGUCUCUUGUCUGACUAUGUCUGUAGUGGUAAAUAAAAUAGGCCUUAGAAAUUUAACCUCA
rnacentral:lncRNA from 1 species